AUUGAACGCUGGCGGCAGGCCUAACACAUGCAAGUCGAGCGGAUGAAGGGAGCUUGCUCCUGGAUUCAGCGGCGGACGGGUGAGUAAUGCCUAGGAAUCUGCCUGGUAGUGGGGGAUAACGUCCGGAAACGGGCGCUAAUACCGCAUACGUCCUGAGGGAGAAAGUGGGGGAUCUUCGGACCUCACGCUAUCAGAUGAGCCUAGGUCGGAUUAGCUAGUUGGUGGGGUAAAGGCCUACCAAGGCGACGAUCCGUAACUGGUCUGAGAGGAUGAUCAGUCAAGCGGGAAUGAGCAACCGGACCAGCCCCCAAGGGGGGGCAGGAGGGGGAAAUGUGGGAAAAGGGGGGAAAGCCUAACCAGGCCAGGCCGGGGGUGGGAAAAAGGUUUUGGGAUUGAAAAGCACUUUAGGUGGGGAGAAAGGGCAGAAAAUUAAACCCUGGUUUUUUGAACGUACCCAACAAAAAAAGCACCGGCAAACUUCGG
rnacentral:rRNA from 1 species